AGCAGCCGCGGUAAUUCCAGCUCCAAUAGCGUAUAUUAAAGUUGCUGCAGUUAAAAAGCUCGUAGUUGAAUUUCGGGACUAAUAUGUCGGUCGUGCCUCGGUACGUACUGGUUUAUUGGUUUCUCCUUUCUGAGGAACCAUGAUGUCAUUUAUUUGGUGUCGUGGGGAAUCAGGACUGUUACUUUGAAAAAUUAGAGUGUUUAAAGCAGGCUCACGCUUGAAUACAUUAGCAUGGAAUAAUGAAAUAGGACGUUUGAUUCUAUUUUGUUGGUUUCUAGGAUCGACGUAAUGAUUAAUAGGGAUAGUUGGGGGCAUUAGUAUUCAAUUGCCAGAGGUGAAAUUCUUGGAUUUAUUGAAGACUAACUACUGCGAAAGCAUUUGCCAAGGAUGUUUUCAUUAAUCAAGAACGAAAGUUAGGGGAUCGAAGACGAUCAGAUACCGUCGUAGUCUUAACCAUAAACUAUGCCGACUAGGGAUCGGAUGAUGUUAAUUUUUAAUGUACUCAUUCGGCGCCUUACGG
rnacentral:misc_RNA from 1 species